rnacentral:tRNA from 1 species
GCGCGCGUAGCUCAGUUGGUUAGAGCGCCACCCUGAUAAGGUGGAAGUCCCUGGUUCGAGUCCAGGCGCGCGCA